rnacentral:rRNA from 1 species
AGAAAGAUUUUCACCGCAACCCAACCCGGCAAUACGAAUAGAUACCCCUUUUUUUAAUAAGUACCACAAGGGAAAGCUGAAAUAAAAUGAAAAGUAAAAGGAGAAAAAGAGAUCUUCUUACCUUUUGUAUUAUGGUUUGACAAGUUAACCAGGAGAACCCUCCAAAUCCCGAAAUCUGGAGAGCUAACCUUUUCCCCGUCACGGAGGAUUUUCUUACUGUUGCAAGAGUAAAGAAAGAGAAAAGGUUAGAAAUGAAAUGUUAAUCGCGCCAGAUGAUAGCUGGUUUCCUAAGAAAAAAGUAUCAGCUUUUUCCCCUCAGCUAAACCCAUUCCACUUUCCAACAAGUAAAUUGAAAGCAUUAGGAGAAAAAGAAAGAAGGAGAUAAGUUCUUCUUUCAAGAAGGAAACAACCUGGAGAUCAGGAAAGGACAACAAUUAUUAUUAAGGAAAACCACUUUAGAGUAGGCCCAAAAGCUGCCACCCAUUAAGAAAGCGUUAAAGCUCAUAACAAAAGAGACCUAAAAUCCUUGGCAAUAUACACCCCGAACCUAUCCCCGAGUAUUAGGAAGACAUAAUGUUAAAACGAGUAAAGUUAUAACCAAACCCCGGAAAAAGAAAAAUUAAAAAAUAACCAAGAAAGCCCUAACAAAUCAAGGCACCGAGCACUUAAUAUUCUCUUCCAACACAGGUAUCCGGUUGCACCUGGUAAAAGAAGAAGGAAGGAACUAGGCAAAAACAGAGAAUGACUGUUUACCAAAAACAUAGCCCUUUGAAACAGAUAAAGGGUGAAGCCUGCCCAGUGGGAAACUUUUCCUCAACGGCCGCGGUAUCUUGACCGUGCAAAGGUAGCAUAAUCAUUUGUCUCUUAAAUGGGGACCUGUAUGAAUGGCUUUUCAUUCUCUAGCUGUCUCCCUUCUUCCCCCUUUAAACUUCUAUUUACGUGAAGAAGCGUAAUUUUGACAGAAAGACGAGAAGACCCUGUCGAGCUUCAGCUAAACCUAAGUCCCACUACAUUUCCUCUCAGAGAAAAAGUAAAGUCCUUAGAACAAGCUUUGGUUGGGGCAACCAUGGAGUAAAAACAGCCUCCAGUUUUUCAGGUAGAAAACUAUUCUCCUAAAUAUACACUUUUAGAACCAAAAAUUUUGGAAAACGGAAAAAGUUACCGCAGGGAUAACAGCGUUAUCUUUUCUGAGAGCCCUUAUUGACGAAAAGGAUUGCGACCUCGAUGUUGGAUUGGGGUAACCAGAGGGUGCAGCAGCUCUCCAAGGUUGGACUGUUCGUCCAUUAAUUCCCCACAUGAUCUGAGUUCAGACCGACGUGAGUCAGGUCAGCUUCUAUCUUCUAUGACUUUCCCCUAGUACGAAAGGAUCGGAGAAAGACCUUAAAUUGUUUUCACAAAAAGGUAAAAAAAACGAAAAAAAAAAAAAAAAAAACAAACUAUGGAAAUUCCAAUGACUAUUAAUUUCUUAAAAUUUUAUCCUCAUUCACUUUUCCAAUACAAGGAAAAGUUUUUAAAAGUUUUAUAAGGGGGUACCCUUUAAAAAUUUUUAAGUUUUUCACCUUUAUUUUACUAACAGGGAAAAGACUAAAGAACUAAGAAAC